ensembl:lncRNA
AGAAAAAUGAAAUAUAUCAGAAGUGUGCCACACAGGCAGCCUCGUGAGGUCUGUUCCCUCCAGCUGAUGAACUGACAACUUCCUCCUUUCUCCAGCAAGGAGGGGCCUCAGAUCCUCUAAAAAGAGUGGAAAACUGUCAAAAAAAAGUGCUGAGCCUCAAUGAGCACUACACUGAAGAUGAAGUUUUCAUUUGUCUUGUUUCUUUUAUUUGAUAUCCCUCAACUAAAAGGGCAGCAGAGGAUUGAGGAGUUUGAACACAUUCUGCUGAGACUUGCGUUCCCUUCCUUUUACAAUAGCUACAGCAAGUCCUGCUGUAAACUCUACCCAGGAGGAUGUUACAAGCUGCUGGACAGUACAGGAUACACCUGUGAUUUACUGAAAGGAAGAGUUACUAAAACUGAGAGUGACGGUUGGGUGGAAUUUAAAAUAUCGAAUGUGCAGCUUGUGGACGGAGGCUAUUACAGAUGUAUUGUGCUGGGAACUCAAAACCGAGUCUACAGUGAUUACUAUGUCGAGGUGUCUGAGAUUUCAGGUCACCAGUCUCAGCCUUCUCUGACAACAACCAUCAAAGUCCCCAACACCUUCACGACACUCCCAGACUCCACUGGGGUUGUUCUGGCACAGGACCACAGUGACAGUCCCGGAGUUCCCUGGAGUUUUGGCCUGCCGUUAGUUGUCAUUGUGUCCAUUACAGUGAUGAUUUUGAUCACUUCAGUUAUUGGUGUGGUUUGCUGCAGAGUCAAGGCAAAACGUAAACAGUCGGACAAAUAUGGAGAAACUCUGUGUGAGUCACUGAAACAAGAGGCCCCGGAAAUGAGUGGCAUAGUCUACACAACAGUGGACUUCAGAGCUCACCAGAAGCCGACAGAGGUGUAUGCAAACCUGAGGAUGCACAAAACACAAGCGGGAGCCCCUGACUCCACAUGGAGUGCAGAGCAUGAUGGUAUGGUGGAGUACUCAACACUGGCAAUCCACUAGUUAAUUCAUGUGAAGAUUUUGGUUUGUUUCUGUUUUUAAUGGGACAUAUUUAAUUUGUCACGCAACUGUGUUUCUAAAGGUCCUUUGCAGGGAUCUUUAGGCAGAAAUUAAAUAUAUUAUUCAUAGUUAUGUUUUCAUUUCAUAGUGUGUAAUCAAUCACCUGUAUAUAGGAAUCGUUUUCGUUAUUUUCAAAUGAACUGUUUUUGUUAGGGAGCAGGUCCUCUUAUAUGGAGUCCACCAUGUUGAACCGCAUUGUUUCUGCAGUAGCCCAGAAAGGACAAACCGAAGACUGGCUUUAGAUAGGGCCUUUAAAAUGUUUUGAGUUUCCAGGGCGUUGUAAUCUUCCACUACACCACUAGAUGCCACAAAAUCUUACACACUGGUCGUUUAAAGGGAACUCCAUUGAUCUUUCACACAGAUGUCAAUGUAUUAGUUAGAACAUGGUCAGCCUGUGUAGAGUUUGAAAUGCAAUAACCAAGGAGGAAGACUCUAACAAAAAGAUGCAUUUUGUUGCAUUAUGGGAAAUGUAGGCUCCAACAGUUUUAGAUCUUGACCCAUAUUGGACCAAAAUUAAGGACGUCUUCACUGCUGCUUUGGUUAUAAAUGUUCUUUUGUCUGUUUUGAAUAUGGUUGUGUAAUAUUAAAUCACUGAACUACUCCUUUGAGUGUACAUAUCAUGUGUUCUUCAUGUAAAUGAGAAGUUAUUGAAAUGAUAUUGGCAAUAAACACUGUUGUGAAAAACCUGUUAAAUUAAGAAAAUUGUGUUUGCUUCC